AUCCAGCUGACAAGUCCCAAAUUGGACGAAACACAUUUCCUGGAU
rnacentral:hammerhead_ribozyme from 1 species